GAACUAUCAGGCCCCCACUUAAGCUGCUAACUUAGGUUCAAAUGGUUAAAAUCCAUUUAUAGUUCU
rnacentral:tRNA from 1 species